rnacentral:rRNA from 1 species
AGGAUGAACGCUAGCGGCAGGCCUAAUACAUGCAAGUCGAACGGUGAUAGUAAUAUCAUAGUGGCGCACGGGUGCGUAACACGUAACUAACCUACCUAUACCUGGGGGAUAGCCCGCCGAAAGGCGGAUUAAUACCGCAUAAGGCUUGGAACCGGCAUCGGUUUUUAGUUAAAGAUUUAUUGGGUAUAGAUGGGGUUGCGGGUCAUUAGCUAGUUGGUAGGGUAACGGCUUACCAAGGCGACGAUGACUAGGGGAGCUGAGAGGCUGGUCCCCCACACGGGCACUGAGAUACGGGCCCGACUCCUACGGGAGGCAGCAGUAGGGAAUAUUGGGCAAUGGGCGAGAGCCUGACCCAGCCAUGCCGCGUGCAGGAAGAAGGCUUUCUGAGUCGUAAACUGCUUUUGACAGGGAAGAAUAAGCUGUACGUGUACAGUGAUGACGGUACCUGCAGAAUAAGCACCGGCUAACUCCGCGCCAGCAGCCGCGGU